rnacentral:rRNA from 1 species
AGUGAACGCUGGCGGUAUGCCUAACACAUGCAAGUCGAACGGCAGCACAGUAAGAGCUUGCUCUUACGGGUGGCGAGUGGCGGACGGGUGAGGAAUACAUCGGAAUCUACUUUUUCGUGGGGGAUAACGUAGGGAAACUUACGCUAAUACCGCAUACGACCUACGGGUGAAAGCAGUGGAUCUUCGGACCUUGCGCGAUUGAAUGAGCCGAUGUCGGAUUAGCUAGUUGGCGGGGUAAAGGCCCACCAAGGCGACGAUCCGUAGCUGGUCUGAGAGGAUGAUCGGCCACACUGGAACUGAGACACGGUCCAGACUCCUACGGGAGGCAGCAGUGGGGAAUAUUGGACAAUGGGCGAAAGCCUGAUCCAGCAAUACCGCGUGGGUGAAGAAGGCCUUCGGGUUGUAAAGCCCUUUUGUUGGGAAAGAAAAGCAGCAGGUUAAUACCCCGCUGUUCUGACGGUACCCAAAGAAUAAGCACCGGCUAACUUCGUG